GCCGUGCUCCCUCGUGCUCUCCGAUCGGCUUCCUGCAUUUUAUUUUCUCUUUAAUGUGUAGCUCGUCUUCACAUGCAGUUCAAUUGCCAUCUUUACCGAGUAUUGUUUUCUCCUUCUGUCCAGUUUCGUUUCAAAAUCCUAACCUUAGCGUCACUCUUCCGUAGCUAUGGCGAACUCUUCUGUACCUAUGGCGAACUCUUCCGCAGCUAUGGCGAUAGUCAAUUCGCCUAAUGCCCAAGAUGAUUCAAACGAGGAUUUCAGGUGCUCUUAUAUUGGUUUACCAGCACUGGAUGUCUCUGCUGCAUUCCCCCAAGCAACUCCGGCUUCCCUCUUUCCUCCAUGCACUUCAGACUUCUACCAUUUAGAUGAUUUAUUGACUCCUGAGGAGCAGGCACUCAGGAUAAAAGUAAGAGAAUUCAUGGAAAAAGAGAUAGCACCAAUAAUGGCACAGUUCUGGGAGAAGGCAGAGUUUCCAUUUCAUGUUAUUCCAAAGCUGAGUGCACUGCGCAUUGUUGGUGGUACUAUCAAGGGCUAUGGUUGUCCUGGUCUUUCCAUUACUGGAAGUGCUAUUGUUUUCGCAGAAAUUGCGAGAGUUGACGCAAGUUGCUCCACUUUCAUUGUGGUCCAUUCUUGUGUGGCAAUGCUAACAAUUGCACUGUGUGGAUCAGAGACACAAAGGCAGAAAUAUUUACCAUCAUUGGCUGAACUAAACACUGUAGCAUGUUGGGGUUUGACUGAGCCUGACUAUGGAAGUGAUGCAAGUGCAUUAAGAACAACAGCAACAAAGGUGGCAGGCGGCUGGAUACUUGAAGGCCAAAAACGAUGGAUAGGAAACAGUACUUUUGCAGAUGUGUUGGUUAUUUUUGCAAGGAACACUACUACAAAUCAAAUAAAUGGAUAUAUAGUGAAGAAGGAUGCCCCUGGACUAAGGGCUACUAAAAUAGAAAACAAAAUUGGCCUGCGGAUUGUUCAAAAUGGAGAUAUUCUCUUAAAGAAAGUCUUUGUCCCCGAUGAGGAUAGAUUACCCGGUGUCAAUUCUUUUCAGGAUACAGCCAAGCAGGUGCUGGCUGUUUCACGUGUUAUGGUUGCCUGGCAACCCAUUGGCAUUUCUAUGGGUGUUUAUGAUAUGUGCCACAGGUAUCUAAAUGAGAGAAAACAGUUUGGAGCACCAUUGGCAGCUUUCCAAAUAAACGAACAGAAACUUGUCCGCAUGCUGGGUGAUGUUCAGGGAAUGAUUCUUGUGGGUUGGCGCGUUUGCAAGUUGUAUGAGAAAGGUAAAAUGACUCUUGGGCAUGCAAGCUUGGCAAAGUCCUGGAUUUCCUCGAGGGCAAGGGAGACUGUUGCUCUUGGGCGGGAGUUACUUGGUGGCAACGGAAUUUUGUCUGAUUUUCUUGUUGCAAAGGUGUAUUCACAACUUCGGCUCCAAGGAAAAGAGUCCCCUCUUGCUUCUACUACCAUGCCUUUGGUUUCCUCGUUUGAUGAUCAUACUAUUUGGCAUUCUGUGAUUUGGAGCCUAUCCAUACGUACGAAGGUACCUACGACAUCAACAGCUUGGUCACUGGUAGGGAAGUAACUGGUGUUGCCAGCUUCAAACCUGCUGCAUUGAACCGAAGGAGCCGCCUUUAACUGCAUAAAUUCUGUUUAUGUGGACGUUUAACUCCAUAAAUUCUGUUCGUGGACUUUUACCUGGGAAUUUGUUGGCUGGACAAAUCCCUAGGUAGAUGGAGCAGCAGCAAAUCACUCAGAAGCUUGAGCAGGGUCGCUCAAAAGUCAGACCAGGGAUGAAUAGAAAACAGGGUAUUGCUUUUCACGUUAAAUUGUUAAUUGACUAAUAAAAUGAGUAUAAAGAUCAUCCUAAGUCAGGGAUGAGGAUAAUUAUGUUUUAGUGAUUGUAGAACUCACAACAGUAAUGAUUAGUGUAGCCUUGGAUGGCAUUUCUACC